GGUCCUGGUCCCGGUCCCGGUUCCACCUCCACCUCCUCUUCCUCCGCCGCCAUGACCGAAGCGAAAGAUGCAGCCAGAGCUACUGAGGCUGUACAGCAAUUUCUAUUUUUGUUUCAACAUUGUUUGACUGCUAUGACAUGACAUUGGUGCAGAGAAAUGUCACAACCUGCCUGAUGCAACCAAGACAUUGAUCACCUAAUACAAGGAACCUGGGCAUUGUUACGAUGAUGCGUUCCCAUUGAGGAAGGAAAUGAAUAAUUCAAACCGUUAUCCAUCAAGAUUUAGGCACAUAAUUGAGGUAGAGUGACAGGAUGUAAGGGAACUAAAGUAAUCUUCAGACCAAUAUUAUUCACCUGUGCUAGCUGAAGAAGGGAUUACUACUCAUGAGAUUGCCCCAAAAUUCACAACAGAUGAUGUUCAAUUGAGAAAUGAAAUAUACCCAGAUACAGUUGAAAUCUGAAGACAGAUGGAUGCCUGUGAGGAGUACCAGCACAGCCAAAGCAGGACAAGAGAAAGAAGAGCCAGCAAAUAUAUAAUCACCAUAUGACCUACUGACACCAUGAGGCUUUCCCACCAAUCCUAGUGGAGGCAUUGUAUAGUGCCAGUUUGUCCAAGCAAUGUUCAAAAUUAUAUCUGUGCCUGUCAAAACAUGUUAUUUUUCAUUUUAAGGUCCAAACCUCUUUGGCCACUUCAUCUAUCUACCUUCUCAAAUGAAUUAAAGUACCCUUUGACUCUAAUCUUGUUGAAUUUAGGCACUAAGCAUAGAUUCUAAAAUCAUUUCCCUCAUUGGAAUCAGAAUCAUCCUCUGAGCUACUAUUUCCUUCUUGCUUUUUUAUUCUAAAUGUACUUUGGGCCAACUCAUGUUCUUUAAUUUCCCAAUCUGUUUGGAACUCAAGUCUUUUCAAUUCCAUCUCCUGUUAUUCUUUUACCUCUUUUGUCAUUUAAUGUUUUCUGAGCACUAUCUCCCCGUUUUCUCACUUCUCACUUUUCAUUAUGCUCCCGUUUCACUUUCCUCAAUUUCAAGGUUUUUUUUUCAAUUUUGUUUCUCCAGUCCAGUUUUUUUUUCUUUCUAACCAUAUCGUAGCUAAUCCCAGUUGUGACUUCCUAAUUUCAGAUUUCCUUUCUUCUGAUUCUAAAUGUUGUAUAAUCACUUGAAGCAUCUCACCUUUAUGGGACAUUGUUUUUAGCUGUACUGUUAAUUUAUGUGAUAACUCUUUGUUUAGAUUUUGUCAAAGAUUUUAAAUAUUACAAUUUCAAGCCAACAUAUAACUAGUGCUUGAACAACUCAUUUAAAAACUCAAUUUAAAAUUUCCCAGACAAGCUUCCCCUAGUUAUGACCCAUCUGAAUUUAUUACUGGACAAGUCAGAUCUUUGUCUGUAAUCUGGCUUGAUAGAUCCAUUUGUUUUCUUUUUGUUUUGACAAGAUAUUCUCUGAUAGGAACAUAAGCAUGCAAUGUUGCAGAUUUGUUUUCAAUAAUAAAAUGUUUUAUUUCACACCAGCCAUGAAGAUAAAAUAAAACAAAUCCAAACUGUUUACACAACAGAAGUUUAGAGAUUUUGAAACACACAGCAGAUACAAUCCCACUCUUGUACAAGUCCCGCAAAACAUCCCUUAUUCAGUACACAACAGCAUACCUUGUAUAGUGCUCGCAUCAGAGAAGUAUCCCUUCAGUAACACCUUGAAAGGUUUAAUUUAACCUUAACUUCACCUCCCAGU